AGUAUCAAAGCUUUUGCGGUACAGGAUGGACCCGCGUCUGAUUAGCUAGUUGGUAAGGUAACGGCUUACCAAGGCGACGAUCAGUAGCCGACCUGAGAGGGUGAUCGGCCACAUUGGAACUGAGACACGGUCCAAACUCCCACGGGAGGCAGCAGUGGGGAAUAUUGCACAAGGGGCGAAAGCCUGAUGCAGCAACGCCGCGUGAGUGAAAAGGGCCUUCGGGUCGUAAAGCUCUGUCCUCAAGGAAGAUAAUGA
rnacentral:rRNA from 1 species